UGGGAAGCCAGUGCCAGUGGUGGGUUUGAGCAGGGAACCAGCAACCAGUGGUGGGUUUGAGCAGGGAACCAGCAAUACUCAAGCUCUGCUAGGAUGGAGGCCAGUCAGGGAGGAGUUAGGGCAGGAGGACCGGUCAGGGAGGAGACUUAGGGCAGGAGGACCGGUCAGGGAGGAGACUCAGGGCAGGAGGACAGGUCAGGGAGGAGACUCAGGGCAGGAGGACAGGUCAGGGAGGAGACUUAGGGCAGGAGGACCAGUCAGGGAGGAGUUAGGGCUAGAGGACUGGUCAGGGAGGAGUUAGGGCAGGGGGACCGGUCAGGGAGGAGUUAGGGCAGGAGGACAGGUCAGGGAGGAGUUAGGGCAGGGGGACUGGUCAGGGAGGAGUUAG
rnacentral:lncRNA from 1 species